rnacentral:rRNA from 1 species
UACGUAGGUCCCGAGCGUUGUCCGGAUUUAUCGGGCGUAAAGCGAGCGCAGGUGGUUUAUUAAGUCUGGUGUAAAAGGCAGUGGCUCAACCAUUGUAUGCAUUGGAAACUGGUAGACUUGAGUGCAGGAGAGGAGAGUGGAAUUCCAUGUGUAGCGGUGAAAUGCGUAGAUAUAUGGAGGAACACCGGUGGCGAAAGCGGCUCUCUGGCCUGUAACUGACACUGAGGCUCGAAAGCGUGGGGAACAAACAGG